GGUAUAACGCCGGAUACGAACGGAUAACUCUGAUGAUGUUAAAUAUGAGAUUAAACCUCUUAUACCU
rnacentral:tRNA from 1 species